rnacentral:rRNA from 1 species
CACGUAGUUAGCCGGUGCUUCUUCUGCAGGUACCGUCACUCACGCUUCGUCCCUGCUGAAAGAGGUUUACAACCCGAAGGCCUUCAUCCCUCACGCGGCGUCGCUGCAUCAGGCUUCCGCCCAUUGUGCAAUAUUCCCCACUGCUGCCUCCCGUAGGAGCCUGGGCCGUGUCUCAGUCCCAGUGUGGCCGGUCACCCUCUCAGGUCGGCUACCCGUCGUCGCCUUGGUAGGCCCAUUACCCCACCAACAAGCUGAUAGGCCGCAGGCCCAUCCUGCACCACAAAAGCUUUCCACCCCAGCACAUGCAUGCUGAGGUCAUAUCCAGUAUUAGACCCAGUUUCCCAGGCUUAUCCCAGAGUGCAGGGCAGAUCACCCACGUGUUACUCACCCGUUCGCCGCUCGUGUACCCCGAAAGGCCUUACGCUCGACUUGCAUGUGUUAAGCACGCCGCCAGCGUCGUCCUGUAGCCACGGAGUCAAACUACUACUGAGUAACG